rnacentral:rRNA from 1 species
AGGGAAACUUGGGCUAAUACCGAAUGUGCCCGUAAGGGGAAAGAUUUAUCGCCAGUAGAUCAGCCCGCGUAGGAUUAGCUAGUUGGUGGGGUAAAGGCUCACCAAGGCUCCGAUCCUUAGCUGUUCUGAGAGGAAGAUCAGCCACACUGGGACUGAGACACGGCCCAGACUCCUACGGGAGGCAGCAGUUGGGAAUCUUGGACAAUGGGGGAAACCCUGAUCCAGCCAUGCCGCGUGAGUGAUGAAGGCCUUCGGGUUGUAAAACUCUUUCGACGGGGACGAUAAUGACGGUACCCGUAGAAGAAGCUCCGGCUAACUUCGUGCCAGCAGCCGCGGUAAUACGAAGGGGGCUAGCGUUGUUCGGAAUUACUGGGCGUAAAGCGCGCGCAGGCGGUUCUCCAAGUCAGUGGUGAAAGCCCGGAGCUCAACUCCGGAAUUGCCAUUGAAACUGUUGAACUUGAGGACGAGAGAGGUGAGUGGAAUUCCCAGUGUAGAGGUGAAAUUCGUAGAUAUUGGGAAGAACACCGGUGGCGAAGGCGGCUCACUGGC